GUGGGGAAUCUUAGACAAUGGGCGCAAGCCUGAUCUAGCCAUGCCGCGUGAGCGAUGAAGGCCUUAGGGUUGUAAAGCUCUUUCGUGGGGGAAGAUAAUGACUGUACCCCAAGAAGAAGCCCCGGCUAACUCCGUGCCAGCAGCCGCGGUAAUACGGAGGGGGCUAGCGUUGUUCGGAAUUACUGGGCGUAAAGCGCACGUAGGCGGACUGGAAAGUCAGGGGUGAAAUCCCGGGGCUCAACCCCGGAACUGCCUUUGAAACUCCCAGUCUUGAGUUCGAGAGAGGUGAGUGGAAUUCCGAGUGUAGAGGGGAAAUUCGUAGAUAUUCGGAGGAACACCAGGGGCGAAGGCGGCUCACUGGCUCGAUACUGACGCUGAGGUGCGAAAGCGUGGGGAGCAAACAGGAUUAGAUACCCCUGUAGUCC
rnacentral:rRNA from 1 species